CAACUACUCCCUCUGUCCCAAAUUUCUUGUCUUAGAUUUGUCUAGAUACGGAUGUAUCUAAUACUAAAAUGUGACUUGAUACAUCCGUAUCUAGACAAGUCUAAGACAAGAAUUUUGGGACGGAGGGAGUACUUU
rnacentral:pre_miRNA from 1 species